GACGUAGGGGGCCAGCGUUGUUCGGAAUUACUGGGUGUAAAGGGUUCGUAGGCGGUGCGGCAAGUUGGGAGUGAAAUCUCUGGGCUUAACCCAGAGGCUGCUUCCAAAACUGCUGUGCUUGAGUGUGGGAGAGGCGCGUGGAAUUGCAGGUGUAGCGGUGGAAUGCGCAGAUAUCAGGAGGAACACCGAUGGCGAAGGCAGGUCACUGGGCCGCAACUGACGCUGAGGAGCGAAAGCAUGGGGAGCGAACAGG
rnacentral:rRNA from 1 species